rnacentral:rRNA from 1 species
CCUACGGGAGGCAGCAGUGGGGAAGUCUUGCGCAAUGGGCGAAAGCCUGACGCAGCAACGCCGCGUGCGGGAAGAAGGCUUUCGGGCUGUAAACCGCUUUCAGCAGGAACGAAAAUGACGGUACCUGCAGAAGAAGGAGCGGCCAACUAUGUGCCAGCAGCCGCGGUGAUACAUAGGCUUCAAGCGUUGUCCGGAUUUAUUGGGCGUAAAGAGUUCGUAGGCGGUCGAGUAAGUCGGGUGUGAAAAUUCUGGGCUCAACCCAGAGACGCCACCCGAUACUGCUUGACUUGAGUUCGAUAGGGGAGUGGGGAAUUCCUAGUGUAGCGGUGAAAUGCGCAGAUAUUAGGAGGAACACCGGUGGCGAAGGCGCCACUCUGGAUCGAUACUGACGCUGAGGAACGAAAGCAUGGGUAGCAAACAGGAUUAGAUACCCUGGUAGUCCAUGCCGUAAACGGUGGGCACUAGGUGUGGGUUUCUAUUAACGAAAUCCGCGCCGUCGCUAACGCAUUAAGUGCCCCGCCUGGGGGAGGUACGGUCGCGAGAACUAAACUUAAACGUAAGUAGUACGGCGNGAGACGNGCCGACGGACGACGACGAGGGAGGUAGG